rnacentral:miRNA from 1 species
CACUCUUUUUUCUUAUUCCU